rnacentral:rRNA from 1 species
AAUGAACGCUGGCGGCGUGCUUAACACAUGCAAGUCGCACGAGAAAGCCUUGGCUUGCCAGGGCGAGUAAAGUGGCGCACGGGUGAGUAACGCGUGGGUAAUCUACCCUUGAAUCGGGGAUAACCCUUCGAAAGGAGGGCUAACACCGGAUAAUAUCGGUUUAUUUUUGGAUAUUCCGAUCAAAUGUGGCCUCUACAUGUAAGCUACUGUUUGAGGAUGAGCCCGCGUACCAUUAGCUUGUUGGUGGGGUAAUGGCCUACCAAGGCGACGAUGGUUAGCUGGUCUGAGAGGAUGAUCAGCCACACUGGAACUGACACACGGUCCAGACACCUACGGGUGGCAG